GUAGGUGGCGAGCGUUGUCCGGAUUUACUGGGCGUAAAGCGCGCGCAGGCGGCUGGCCAAGUCCGAUGUGAAAGCUUCCGACUUAACUGGAAAACGGCAUCGGAUACUGGUCGGCUGGAAGGUGGGAGAGGGUAGCGGAAUUCCCGGUGUAGUGGUGAAAUGCGUAGAUAUCGGGAGGAACACCAGUGGCGAAAGCGGCUACCUGGCCCACUCUUGACGCUGAGGCGCGAAAGCUAGGGGAGCGAACGGGAUUAGAUACCCCGGUAGUCCUAGCCGUAAACGAUGAACACUAGGCGUUGUCGGUAUCGACCCCGGCAGUGCCGAAGCUAACGCAUUAAGUGUUCCGCCUGGGGAGUACGGCCGCAAGGCUA
rnacentral:rRNA from 1 species